rnacentral:rRNA from 1 species
GACGAACCGUGCGAACGUUGUUCGGAAUCACUGGGCUUAAAGGGCGCGUAGGCGGGUUGCCGCGUCCGGGGUGAAAUCCCACGGCUUAACCGUGGGACGGCCCCGGAUACGGGCGGCCUGGAGGGGGGUAGGGGCGGGCGGAACUCUGCGUGGAGCGGUGAAAUGCGUUGAUAUGCAGAGGAACUCCGGUGGCGAAGGCGGCCCGCUGGACCCCAUCUGACGCUGAGGCGCGAAAGCCAGGGGAGCGAACGGGAUUAGAUACCCCGGUAGUCCUGGCCCUAAACGUUGAGAACUAGGUAGUGGGCUGACAUGGGCGCACUGCCGGAGCGAAAGUGCUAAGUUCUCCGCCUGGGGAGUAUGGCCGCAAGGCUGAA